UUGAACGCUGGCGGCAUGCUUUACACAUGCAAGUCGCACGGUAACAGGCCUUCGGGUGCUGACGAGUGGCGAACGGGUGAGUAAUGCAUCGGAACGUGCCCAGAGGUGGGGGAUAACGCAGCGAAAGCUGUGCUAAUACCGCAUGUGAUCUGAGGAUGAAAGCGGGGGACCAGGCAGCAAUGUUUGGCCUCGCGCCUUUGGAGCGGCCGAUGUCAGAUUAGGUAGUUGGUGGGGUAAAGGCCUACCAAGCCGACGAUCUGUAGCUGGUCUGAGAGGACGACCAGCCACACUGGGACUGAGACACGGCCCAGACUCCUACGGGAGGCAGCAGUGGGGAAUUUUGGACAAUGGGCGCAAGCCUGAUCCAGCAAUGCCGCGUGCGGGAAGAAGGCCUUCGGGUUGUAAACCGCUUUUGUACGGAACGAAAAGGCUCUGGCUAAUACCUGGGGCUGAUGACGGUACCGUAAGAAUAAGCACCGGCUAACUACGUG
rnacentral:rRNA from 1 species